GGCGGUAGGCUUAACACAUGCAAGUCGUGCGAGAAAGUAUCUUCGGAUAUGAGUAGAGCGGCGGACGGGUGAGUAACGCGUAGGAAUCUACCUAGUAGAAGGGGAUAGCCCGGGGAAACCCGGAUUAAUACCGUMUACCUCCUUCGGGAGAAAGAAGGCCUCUCUUUGAAGCUUUCGCUACUAGAUGAGCCUGCGUAAGAUUAGCUUGUUGGUGAGGUAAAGGCUCACCAAGGCGACGAUCUUUAGCUGGUCUGAGAGGACGAUCAGCCACAUUGGGACUGAGACACGGCCCAGACUCCUACGGGAGGCAGCAGUGGGGAAUAUUGGACAAUGGGCGCAAGCCUGAUCCAGCCAUACCGCGUGUGUGAAGAAGGCCUUCGGGUUGUAAAGCACUUUAAGCAGGGAGAAAAAGUUAUAAGUUAAUACCUUAUAACCUUGAUGUUACCUGCAGAAUAAGCACCGGCUAAUUCCGUGCCAGCAGCCGCGGUAAUACGGAAGGUGCAAGCGUUAAUCGGAAUUACUGGGCCGUAAAGCGCGCGUAGGUGGUUUGUUAAGUUGGAUGUGAAAGCCCUGGGCUCAACCUAGGAACUGCAUCCAAAACUAACUCACUAGAGUACGAUAGAGGGAGGUAGAAUUCAUAGUGUAGCGGUGGAAUGCGUAGAUAUUAUGAAGAAUACCAGUGGCGAAGGCGGCCUCCUGGAUCUG
rnacentral:rRNA from 1 species